rnacentral:lncRNA from 1 species
GAGACUACACGUCAUAAGAAAUAUUGAAACAAUUAUUUUUCAUAAAUAAACUUAAAACUUGAUUUUGUCAAAACGUAAUAAUUCUAUACAUAUGUAUAUAUAUUUUCUACGUUGAAUGUUGGUUAGCGAAAUCAAUCAAUCAAAGAAGAAAAUGCUGUAGCCGUUGGCACCGUCAUGCAAACAGGGAAAAUAUGCCUAAAUUUUAUGGCAACAGAUUGGAAAGAGGUGAAACGAAGUUCAAGUGCGCAUCAUCUGGAGCUACCCAUCGUAGUGCUCAAAAAUUACAGACACACACUAAAACCAUUUGUUGAGAGUGCCAAAUGCAGCUUUGUAAAAUGUACUUUGCACCAUAUCAUUCAUAAAUUUUAUGUAAGAUAGAUCUUCUACUUCUUCAACAAUAUUAAAAAAUAAUAAUAUAUGAUUUAUGAAAUGUGUAACGA